rnacentral:rRNA from 1 species
GACGAACGCUGGCGGCGUGCUUAACACAUGCAAGUCGAACGGAGUUACGUAUGAAGUAUUUCGGUACGGACUAUGUAACUUAGUGGCGAACGGGUGAGUAACACGUGGGCAACCUGCCCUUAACCGGGGGAUAACAUUGUGAAAACAGUGCUAAUACCGCAUAACAGAGUAUCGGGCAUCCGAUAUUUUUAAAAGGAGCAAUCCGGUUUAGGAUGGGCCCGCGUCCAAUUAGCUAGUUGGUGAGGUAACGGCUCACCAAGGCUACGAUUGGUAGCCGAACUGAGAGGUUGAUCGGCCACAUUGGGACUGAGACACGGCCCAGACUCCUACGGGAGGCAGCAGUGGGGAAUAUUGGGCAAUGGGCGAAAGCCUGACCCAGCGACGCCGCGUGAAGGAUGAAGGGUCUUCGGAUUGUAAACUUCUUUGAUCAGGGAAGAAAGAAAUAGACGGUACCUGAAGAACAAAGCCACGGCUAACUACGUG